GUACUUGCUUCGGCAGUACAUAUACUAAAAUUGGAACGAUACAGAGAAGAUUAGCAUGGCCCCUGCGCAAGGAUAACACGCAAAAUCACUUCAGUGUUUACAUCGCUGU